GCAUUUCACUAGUAGACCUCGAGAUGCUGUCUUGUCAAUGAGCAAGCAUGGCUGUAGGCAUCCGAGAGCAAUUUUGCUGGCAAUAAUGAGAAUAAACAUGAAGGGUUUGAGGAGAGAACAAGAAAUUUGGAAUAAGUAACAUAAGGAAAGUAAAUGGAGAUGGUUGGUGUACAUGAAUGAAAUGUAUCCAGUACUCUGGACACAGGAGCAGAGAGACAAACAGUAUGUUUGUUCAUACAAGAUUGAUAAUUAUCCAGAGGAAUUCAGGGAAAGGAAAAC